rnacentral:lncRNA from 1 species
CACAGAGGGGCAGAGGUGAGGGAGACACUGUCCCUGCCUUCAAGGAACCCUGCCAUUUGAUGGCAGAAAAUCCCGAAAAGGAACAUAAUAACAUAAUUGUUACUAAGGCGCGGUCACCAAGAUCCUAAAUGAAAGCUGUGAAACACAUUUUUACAGGAACUGUUCAGAGAUGGCAUUAUGGCGCCGAUGUCAAGAGCAAGACUUCUGGAAGCUUCGGGUUCAAAUCCCAGCUCUGCCACUUACUUGCUCAAGUUCAUUCACCCUUCGGCAAUCUUAAUGUCCUCCCCUGCAAAGUGGUGGUGAGAGAAGUGUCUACCUCCCACGUUAUCUUAGAAGAAGGAAAGGGGAGAUCCCGUAUACAACACACUUGCCACAGUGCUUGGCACAUCGAUUAACAGAUAUUUUCCUAAGCAGAAAUCAAAAUGUGUCAAAUCAUCUGAGACAGUCAAUUUGUUCACAAUGCCCACAUUCUUCCAGUACGGAUGCAGCACUAUUCAAAACCAGUUUCAUUUGAAGAGAUACAAUGCAGCAGAGAGGUAAACAUUUAUCUUCAUAAUCUUAGACUCCUUUCAGACUGCUUAAUUUUUCCCAGUGAUUUUCCCCUCCUCUUUCACUCCACCCCCAAGCUCUGCUUCAAAACAUUCAGUACAAAAAAGACAUGACUUCCCCAGAGGAUUCGGGUCUCAGUGAUCCUGAUGAUGCAACGUGUGCUCUCCAUUAUUCCUGGGAGCUCCCUGGAUGUCUCUCUGCAU